rnacentral:lncRNA from 1 species
UUUAUCACUGAUUUAUUGAAAUUGUAACAGAAACAGAGUUAUGUGAUCAACACAUACAUCCACUAGUAGGUGGUAUAAAUAAGCUAACGAUAACAUAAAACAAAGCCAAAAAGAAGGUAGGUCUAACCAUCAAAAUGGUUAUUUCAGAUCAACUUCCAUCAUCAUUUCAGCAACCCUGGCUUCUUCAUCCAAAGGUGAUGUAACCAUGAGAUGCAGACAUUCUCAGAUUUGUAAAACUGCAGUAUGAGAUCACGUAUAAUAUUAUCCACGAUUAUCAUAACAACUUGAUUCUUCAUCGGAGAUGAAUGGUCCAGCGACCAGAGAGUAUUCCCACUAUGAAAUUUAAAGAUUUUCCAUAAACAAACCAAGAAUUGAGGAUUCCAACUAUAUCUCAUUAAAAAGCUUCCAAUCUAUUGAAACUAUGAGAACUUAAAACUUUCAUCAAUUCAAAAACAACUACGACCCAAAUUUAGGAUUGUUUACCAUCAGAUUUUCAUACAUCUAUAUCACUAAAACUGAAAUACUUUUUCAAAAUAAUAUUUUCUUCACUUUAAUAUUUAUCAAUUUGUGCCACUAAAUUAAUAAUAAUAAUUAUUAAUUAAUUAAUUAUUUUGUUAGAAUCUUCUCUAUCCAAACUUACCAAUCUUAAUAAAUUUACAGAAAUCAUUUAUUUUAUUAUAUUAUUCUCUAACCAAAAUUACAAUCUCUAACCAAAUUUUACAAGAAAUUAAAAAUAUAUAUUUAAAAUGUGACUAUAAAUUUUAAAUGGUAUAUAUUCAUAUAUAUUAUUAUUUCAUUCCAUAUACAAAAAAUAAAAUAUAAAUAUUUUUGUUAAAACAUAUAAAUUUAUUUUUCAAAUAUAUGGUAAAUAAGUUGAUUACAUAUUAGUAUAAGAAUACAACAAAUAAAUUUCAACUUAAUAUUUUCCUCAAAAAUAAAAAUAAAUGUAUAAUUUAUUUGGCAUAUAAAAACUUAAAGACAUAUCUAUCUAUAUUAGUAAAAGAUAAAUAUGUUUUAUUUUAGUAAGAUAUAUUUAGUAAUAUACAUAAAUAUAAUAAUUGAUGUUUUAAUUUAUAAAUAAAUACAUCAAAAUGGUUACUAUAAUUGAAAAUAUUAAUUGGUAAAUAUGUUAUAUAACAUAUUGAUUGGUUUUAUAUCCAACUGCAAUAUGAGCAAUCAACAAGUUAUAGAUAAAAUAUCGAUCUAUCAUAAAUGAUAUAUAUUAUAAAUCGAAUAAACAUCCAAUUAACACAUGCUUGUACAUUCAUUACAUUGAUUUCAUAAGUCUAAUAUUAUUUUUUAUUUUUUUAUAUUAAACAAAUACCAUGGAUCAAGCUAUAGUACUUGUUAAGAUUGUAUUGGAUACAUAUUAAAUUUAUCAUUUUUGAGUUUUGCAUGUCUACAGACACAAGAUGAUUGUAUAGCAUGUUGGAAGAUUGUACCCAUUUGUACUUGGUUUAAAAGAUAUAGAUUAUUUCCAUAACAUGUUAUUUUCUAUAUGAGCAUCUAGUAGUAUAUAUAAAGUUUAUAUUAUACAAGUUUACUUAAUAACAGAUUACUAUGCAAACAAUAAAAUAAUUCAUAUACCAAGUACAUCUAUGGUUCGCCAUGCAUGUAAUCUGUUAUUUUUAAAUUUAUAUAAUUAUUUAACUCGUUAAAAGCUAAUGUUUCCAUGCAUGGAUAUUAAAUGAAUAUAUUAUUAUAUUCUAAAAUAUUAUUAAAUUCUAAAGUUUUAUUUUGAAAAUGUGUUAGAAUACCUCCAAUGGAGAGAUGUAGAUGGAGUUCUUGUUAUUAAAAAUAAAAAGAAAAUAUUAAAAGGAAAGAAAGAAAACAAGUAAAAGUUUUUAUAGUUGAGAGAUUUUGAGAACUCCAAAAAAUUUUUACUGUCCAUAUGUCUGUCACCUUUGUAUUGGUUGGAUUUUUGAAAACAAAACUGAAAUUUACAUAAGUAAUUAGGUCGUUAACUAAAAAGUCAUAUUUUGAUGUUUCUAGAAACUCUUACCAAUGGGUUCUUUCUUACCGAUGGUUACCCUUAUAGUGUCCACCUUGCAUUUUUAUAUAUCGACUAUCUAUCUAUCUAUAUAUAUAUAUAUAAAGUAUAUAUAUAAAGUACUGUUUCUUCACUCCAGGAUGCGCCACCUCAGCAUCCACGUCAGUAAGUCGUUCAACCUGAACGUAACACCUGUCCACUUUUGCUUAUACGUUGCGUUUCAUUUAAAAAAUUGAAUAGGUAUGGGUUACAUCUUUUACGUGGGCUUUAGGCUAAAACCCAUCCCAAUAGUGAGCGUGUCACAUCUCUACACAGCAAUUCUGAUUCUAAGGAUUGAGUCGAAGAAGUCGGCGCGAUGAAUCUGUUGGUCGAGAUUUUUCUCACGUCGUUCAAUCUUCUUUCUCAUUGACAGAUGCAUCGCCUUAAAGCCCUUCAUAACUCCAUCCACCAUAAUUUAUCAUUUAAUACGAAGUUGUAUACCUGCGACUAUAAAAAAGUUAGACAUCCCACUACAAGAAAACAGCGGUAUUCUGACGGAGGUUCCGACGGAAAAUGAAUUCCUCGGAAUAUACCGAGGCAUUUCCGAGGCAAUUCCGAGGAAACACAAAAUUUUGCUUCCUCGGAAUUCCGUCGGAAUAUUCCGACGGACUUCCGAGGAAAAUUCAUUUCGUCGGAAUAUUCCGACGGAAUACCGAGGAAACUAGUAUUCCUCGGAAAAAACCGAUGAAUUCCGAGGAAAUAUUAUAGACGUUAGAGAGCCGUUGGAGAGCCGUUGGGGGGUUUUAAAAAUUCCGAGGAAAUUCCGACGAACUAGCCGUUUGCAUCGGAAUUCCGUCGGAAUUUCCUCGGUCUGUCGGCAGGAUUUCAACUAUAAAUACAAGCACCCCUCUUCCUCUUCAUUCACACCAUAUCUUCAUCCUCCCUCUCACUUUCUUUACACACGAAUUUGAUUCAUAAAAAACAUGUCUUCUUCAAAUUAUUUUCGUUCUUGGAUCGAUCGACCUCAUUUGGAUCCGAACACGAGAUUGCUUACGGAAGAAUACCAACAAGGUAUAACCGAAUUCAUGGGGUUAGUUCACCGACAACCGGAAGCAAAAACAGGUAUGUUAAGAUGUCCUUGCUCUAAUUGUAAAAAUAGAAAGGUUAUUAAAGAGUGGGAUGUUUGGACUCAUCUAUAUUUGAGUGGGUUUACACGAAGUUACAAAAUUUGGUAUCAUCAUGGAGAAACUGAUUAUGAACAUGGUAGUACUAGCGAACCUCAGCCAGCGGUUAGAUUAGAAGAACCAAUUAGAACGGAUGUAGAUUAUGGUGUAGGUACUGAGCAGAUGGUAAAUGAUCAUUUUAGAGGGGAAGAUUUACCCAAUGCCGAAGCUAAGAGAUUUUAUGAUAUGUUGGAUGCUGGAAAGCAACCAUUGUACGAAGGUUGCAGAGAUGGUCAUUCAGCUUUAUCAUCUGCUACAAGAUUGAUGGGCAUUAAGACGGAUUAUAAUUUGGCUGAAGACUGUGUGGAUGCGAUUGCUGAUUUUGUAAAAGGUAUUCUACCCGAAGAUAAUGUAGCUCCUGGCUCAUACUACGAGGUUCAGAAACUCGUAGCUGGUCUUGGUUUAUCGUAUCAGGUAAUAGAUGUAUGCAGAGACAACUGCAUGAUUUAUUGGAGGGCGGAUGAACAGCGGGUUUCAUGCAAAUUUUGUGGGAAGCCUCGUUAUAAAGAUACGAGUGGAAGAGUUCCAGUACCAUAUAAAAGGAUGUGGUAUUUGCCUUUGACGGAAAGGUUGCAGAGGCUGUAUCUGUCUGAACGCACAGCGCAACCAAUGAGAUGGCAUGCGGAGCACUCAACAGAUGGUGAGAUCCUCCUCUCAAAAUCAGCUUUCUUAAUUUGCAAAGUAAAUUUAAUCUCUGAGAAAUGGCUAAAGUCAAAAGUGCUUCUUACCUUAUUCGUCUCGGCACCUCGACUCCUCGCCAUGGCACCCGCAACUUCUCC